UCUACUGCCAUACCACCCUGAACGUGCCUGAUCUUGUCUGAUCUUGGAAGCUAAGCAGGGUCAGGCCUGGUUAGUACUUGGAUGGGAGGCUGACUGGGAAAAAAGCCAGAGACACUCAGAC
rnacentral:rRNA from 1 species